UGAGGAUGGGAUUGUUUUUUUCCCUGAGCUGGGAGAGACCAUGCCAGCCCCUGGAUCCACAAGCGUGCAGCUCAGAGCCUCCAGUGCUCAGCAAGAGGAGGACCUGGACUCUCCCUGUAUCCUUCCUGCUCCCCAUGAAUUCAAUUAGGUAGACUUCCACUAUUUUAUUUACUAUUUUUUUUUCUGACAGCACAGGCAGUGGUAAGAUCCAGACUUCCAUCAAUACAACAGAUGGACGCAGCUCAAAAGGUGCCUUCAGAGCCUGACUCCUGAGGAAGCGUAAUGAUCUGGGAGAUGUGAGGAUGAAAGAGAAAAUUAAGAAAGCUGGACACUCUCUCCUGUGCCCUCAGGAGGGAGCCAAAUACUUCUGUUGAACAAAGAUGGGACUGCAGUAGCUGCAAGUGCUGGAUGCCACUUCUUUCAAUGGCUUCUGCACUGACAUGGCAGGGCUCAGAGCAGUCACGGGACACGGCACCGCAUUCUCUGCUGGCAGAUAAGGCUGAGGGCCAUGGGAUAUCUCACACACUGCCUUCAGCACCUCCUGCUGCUGGGGUGGAACGGAGUGCGGCGUUGCAUUCUGCACCCUGCAGAGCCUCCUGCUGGGAGGAAGGGGACCAGAGGAGCUGCAUUUUACUCACCCACGAUCCACCAUCUCACCCUCUGCAACAAUGGAGGCAGCCUAGAAUUACGGUACUGUCGCAGCUGUCUGCACUGAACUGUGUAUUGCAUUUCCACCAUUCUCUGCGCUGCCUCCUGCUGACAUAACCUAGGACUGGAGCAGCUAGAAAAUAAACCAACCACCAAGAAAACAUUUUAUAAGGACUGCAUUUCCAUAACGCGCCCACUUUCCUCCCUUUGCCACCCUGUAUAUUUCUCCCCCCAAAAAAGAGCCACAGCAAUCCAGUAACAGCCUGGUGUUAAAUAGUGGUAACUCAUAUUUAUUACAAUUAUAUACAAUCAUAUUUUAUAUUUGAAAUCUAUACAUGAUCACACGGACGAGCACGCUUGCUUAGUGAGGACAGUGAGACUCGGUUGUUACAAGAAUUGCUCCACUAAGAGGCUCUGAUGCAGUGAGUAAUAUAAUUGGACACCACCAUUUUAACAGCUGAGAACACAAUGCUGCAAAUGAGAGGUUUCAAAAUUCACCGUUUUGAUUUGUAUAUAGCCCCAAAAAGGCAAAUAAAAAUAAUGGCUGGACUGGA